rnacentral:hammerhead_ribozyme from 1 species
AUGCAGCUGACGAGUUCAAAAUAGGACGAAACGCAUGUUGUGGAU